rnacentral:piRNA from 1 species
UCGGUUGCACUUGUUCCAUUAGAGUUCCGU